GACGAACGCUGGCGGCGUGCUUAACACAUGCAAGUCGAACGGAAAGGCCCUGCUUUUGUGGGGUGCUCGAGUGGCGAACGGGUGAGUAACACGUGAGUAACCUGCCCUUGACUUUGGGAUAACUUCAGGAAACUGGGGCUAAUACCGGAGAGGAGCUCCUGCUGCAUGGUGGGGGUUGGAAAGUUUCGGCGGUUGGGGAUGGACUCGGGGCUUAUCAGCUUGUUGGUGGGGUAGUGGCUUACCAAGGCUUUGACGGGUAGCCGGCCUGAGAGGGGGACCGGCCACAUUGGGACUGAGAUACGGACCAGACUCCAACGGGAGGCAGCAGUGGGGAAUAUUGCACAGUGGGCGGAAGCCUGAUGCAGAAACGCCGCGUGCGGGAUGACGGCCUUCUGGUUGUAAACCGCUUUCGCCUGUGACGAAGCGUGAGUGACGGUAAUGGGUGAAGAAGCACCGGCUAACUACGUG
rnacentral:rRNA from 1 species